UAUUAGCUCAGCGCAAACCUUCCUCAUUAAUUAAAAAAAAAAGUAGUGGUUCCCAAAUUUUGCUGUACAUUUCAAUUACCUGGGGAUCUGUAAAAAUUACUGAUGUGUGACUCCUACAACAUUGUGAGUUCAUUGGUAUGGAGUGCUACUAGGGCAUCAGGAGCUUUCAAACCUCCUUAAGCCAUUCUAAUUGCAACAAAGUUUGGCAAUCACCAGGUUAAAGUGUAAGAAAGCUUUCACGAUCUCAUUGCAUAUGUGUAUAGCCUCUGCUGCUGCCCUCCACUAGAAAUCCAAGAUUGAAGUACCCAGAUGAACCCUCCCAAUAGUCGUCUCUUUAGAGCACAUUACCCUCUGGGACACAUUAGAUCAUAUGACCCUCCCCUUGUCCCCUUCUGACCUCCUCUUCCUGUCCUGCUUUUUUGAAGUUGGCCUUUUUCUCUCCAGCCCCACUGCCAUUAUCCUAGCAGAGAGCCUGGAGCCAAGCUUGCAGGGUUAGGCAAUAAGCCUUUCAAAGGUCCUGUCACCCUAGCUGUGUCUGGAUCCACAGCUUCAGGUUUCAGAUUCCUCUUCAUUUGCACCAUCAAUAUUGAUCAAUUACUCCUAGGAUGCCAAUUCUCCCAACUGCACUACUGGUUCCUGAACUUCAUCAUCCUAAACUUCAUCCUAAAGUUCAGGUGGCAAAGGGGAAAAUUACAAAAAGAUGUGGCAUGGAAUCUUAGUUCCACAUGUUCCUCCAUCAGCUCUUGGGCACUAUUUCUACAGGUCAAAACCCUAUGUCGCUUUAUGAACCACAAGUGCCAAGUCUCUUCAUGAAAUCUUUCCCAAUCUCUCAAUCAGAUGUGAUUUCUCCUCACUUUGAGCCCCCAUGAAACUUGACCAAUCCAGCUGCAGCAUAAUCUGGUUCAAGGGUAUUAUAUUCAAGAAUUCUUGGAUUACAUUCCACGCACAUUCCCUACUAACACUGUGACUUUCUGUGAGUUGCUUAGCCUUCCUGAAGCAAAGUUCCCUUAUUUAUAAAUUUUUCUUUGAAGGGAAGAUCAAUAUAAUGUAUGUAAAGUAUCUAACUCAGUGUCUGAUACAUAUUAGACAUGUAAUAAACAGUAGCUAUUAUUUUACUCUUUUUAUGGGCCAAAUCACAUUUUGCCUUACACUAAAGUUUUUUAAAGACUUCUUUGAGUACAGUUUUUCUAUGAUGGAUACCAUUAAGAUGUGACUGCAGUUUAUUUAUUUUUUAAUAAUCUGCAGUAAAGAUGUACGCAUUUGAGGCAUAUAUUCAUAAAUCUCUUUAUUUAAAGAAAUAUUUAAGAAUGACCUCAUAUUUAUUUUGACUCAUAUAUCAGUAACAUUUUUCUAGAUCGUGAGCAAGGUGGUAUAUGUACGAACUCCACAUAGACGACAUCCAAAACAUCCUUGAAUAAUUUAAGGUAUGUGCGGUAGGAUGACGCUUAUUCUAUGCAGACUGCUGGCAGAGAGGAAAGGAUUAAAACCAAGCUGGGUGAUGGAAAUGAUUUUCCUACAGGGAGCUGUCCCCCCAUUCAGCUGUCAUACCAGCUGCCACUGGCUCUGUCCUUGCAGCCUCUCAGUGAAACACAGCCUGGGUGUGCAUGGAUAAAAAAAGAGAACCCAGAAAGGAACAGUGGGGUUUAUGCUCUAUUCUCCAAAUACACUAAUUCAUCACUCUCUCAUUAUCUGAAAGUCAGGGAGCUAACAAUGUAACAAACUCCUUGUUCAUAGAUUUAAAAUGUACCUGUGUAAUAUAACUUUGCCAAAAGGGACCUCCACAUUGAUCCAUAGACAAGGGCUUUCCCCACAGUUUCCAUACUGGAAAAUAAAUGACUCAAUGUACUUAAAAAUUUAAGAAAAAAUUGUUUUAGAAGAGAUCUUAGUUGGAAAAUGUGUGAAAAGGUAUUUAUGAAAUUCAAUAUUGUGGGGCUCUAGUCUACAGAACUAACAAAAUUGAUCAGUUCCAAUGUGAUUUACUUUCUACUAACAGUCUCUUACCCGUUUCUUGCACAAUUUCUGUUUUCCAGGAAGAUAACUAUCUAUCAUCUUUGCUUUGUGAAGAGUGACAUUUAAAUUUGAUUCUAGUCAAUAAUUUAAGAUCUUGCAUUUUUAUAUGCUGAGUAACUUUGUCUGGUCAAGUAAGGAUUCAGCUCUAGGUACAAUACAAGCAACCCAGAGCAAAUACAUUUGUCAAUACAUCUACUAUAUAUUUUUCUAUUCACCCAAUUCAGGUAAUAUAUAAAUAAUAAAAAGAGAAUAGGUGUAAUGGUAUCCUGAUUACAAUGCUAUAAUCCAGAAAUGUCUACCUAGAAUUCUGAAUUAUUUGUGCCAAAAUUGCUAAUGCAUACACAACAUAGUAUACAUACAAAAAUCUGUACUUUAAAGAGUUUCAACUUUUAUUGAAAAUGUAAAAGAAUAACCAAAAUACUAGGAAAACCUUUGAUGGAGUGUCUGGGUAUUCCAAAAACAGUACCUCAUCUGUAUGAGUAAUCUUAAUAAGCCUCUAGAAAAACGCAGUGAAAACUAGUAUAAUGAAUGAGUCAAGUUGCACACAUUGGAAUGAAAAGACAAAGUUUAGAAUUUAAGAGUUCUUUUCAACCUUAUUCUGUAAAAUUUAAAAUUGUAUCUAAAAAUAGUUUGACGGGCAUAAAUAUUUGUUCUAGCCAAUUCAAUAUAAAUACACAUUUUAAUUUUAAAUCUGCUAUCAUUGGCAUGUGUUUGACUACGUGUGGACCUUUACAAACUUUGUUAAAAUGACUUUUAAAAAAAUCAUAAUCCCGUUUAACACUUCCAAAGGUACAUUAUCAUACGCCUUCACGGCAGUGAGAAAUCUGAGGAAAAACCCUUGAACUCUACAACGGGCAGUGGAGCUGUUCCCCUCUUACCAGCCGCCUCAUUUCUUCAGCGAAGCCCAACUACAAACUUCCUUUGCUUGACUCUUAACACUGAGCUAAGAGUCUAUAUAUACUCAGGCCUCCAGUUCGGGGAAGCCCUUCGCGGCCAAUCAGGGCUUCCCGAUCUAUUGCGUCACACCUCCCCCCUGGGUGUGACGUCAAAGGCAAUCCCAGGCCAGCCACGUGGGUUGGAGGAGCGUUUCUGGGCAGCUGUUCCAGAGACACCCGGCAGCAACGGUCCCGCAAGGGUGGGGAACUGGGCAGGGAGGGGCAGACAGGGCUCCUACGCGCACCUUCUGGGAACACAACUGUGGCAGCUCGCUCGCCCCGGAGGCGCGCAGGGUCGUCCCCCCUCCCCGGAUACCGGAAAGUCUCUUCUCUUUUUCGUAUCAAAAAAAGCCCGGUGAAGACUCUGCAGAACCCAGGAAGCGCAGAAUCGGGAGAAAGUCUUUGGCUGGGGCUGGUUCAAGACCCUGCUUCAAUGGGCUGCUGGAAGCCAGGACUGGGUAAUUCUUUCCAGACGUCUUGACUUCUCCUUGCUCGCUGUUGUUGCCUUUCUGCCUCCUCCAACUUAAGGGGGUCUUAACAAGUGAGCUGGGUUCCUCUGAGGUUGGACUUCUUUCGCGCUCGAUAGGCCUUGAAAACUGGGUUCCUGCUCCUUAUUACAUAUCUGGGACAAUAAUGAACAGGUCAAAACAGAAAAGUCGAGUAAACUGGGAGCGAUGCUUUUCAACACGUCGCGCAGGGUGUAGUGUUGGGGGAUGUGAUUUGAGGGCAAGAAUUUUAUUGCAAUACUAGGUAGUCAGCCAGCCCGGUCCCCGGGGGCCGACCUGCAAAGUACUACGCGUUUCCGCCCCCCGACCCCCCCACAGCGGUUACACCUCUGGGAAGCAUUACCUUGCCUGAUGACUUCACACUGCUCGGGGAAACCCACUUACUAAUUCUCCCCUACAAACCUUCAGGGCUUCAGCCUUUGUUUGAACCCUGCCUUAGGUGGUUCAACUCUUGAGAAACUGGCUUAAGUUUCAGAGCACAAUUUCAUCCACUUAAUCAGACUCCUGCUUCUUGAUUUUUAGUUGUACGGUAGUUUUUAAAUGCUAACCUGUAAUUUAAAAUAUAUUGUCUAACUGAUGUACUCUUACAUAUAAUGUGGAUUAAACUGAUUUAGGGGGAGGGUGGACAUCAUGGAGUGUCAAGUGUCUGGCUGUGGGACCCCACAGGGGCACUUAACAUCCACUCUAAACUUCCAUGAAUAUUAUAUGUAAUGCAGGCUUGCUGAUUAUUGCUUAGUAGUGCUUAACUGUUCCUGUGCUAAUGGUUCAAGCAGUGAAAACAUUUAGUAAAACUGUGUUUCUUUAUUAAUCAAAAACACAUUUGUUGUUUGUUCCCUUGAACUUGUAAUUCAUGGCCCAUAAAGCAAAAGCAAAAUAUUUCCUCACUGCGGAUGAAUGUAAAAGCUAAUUACAUAUCCGUGCAUUUCUGUCAGUUUCUCCCCCAUCCCCCAAGAGAAUGGGAAAGAGGCUAGAGGUGAAAGUUUACAUUUAAAUUCAGGGGUGAAGCAGAAUACUGUAUCAAUCAGAUUUUCUUAGGCAGGGCAUCCAGAAUAAGAGAUUGAAUAAAUUCAAAUCCCACCUUUGAUGAGGGAUUGUUUGUGUGUUCCUGGAAGCAUAUUUUACCUCUCUAGACCUUUAUUUCCUAGUUGAUAAAUGGAGAAAAUACCUGCUUUACAAAGUUGUUAUGAUGAUAGAACGUGUGAAACUAUGUUAGGAGAUUAGUAGAGUGCCUAAGCUCUACUCUUAGGUAGAGCUUCCUAAUGUAACUUAGCGUUUCCUAAUUUAACCAUUGUCGCUAUUCAAAAACAUUAGUACCCUUCUCCUGGUUUUCUAUUUGUUAUAUUAUUCUUGAUAGGCAUUAACUGGAGUUUCAUCCUGGGCUCAUUUGUUUGACCUACUUCAGCUUCCUACUGUCCCCUCACUGUCUCUCAUAGAUUGAAUUAUUCUAUGUGCCCAUGAAUACACCCCAAACCUUUACGUUUAACCAAAAUUCCUUUCUGGAUUCCAGGCCUGAAUUACGGCUACUAGCCAUCUAGUAUUGAUUAAUAAGCAUCAUAUUUGGAGACGGGAGAUUCAGUUUCACCAACAAGCUAUAGCUUGUUUCAACCAAUUGAAUAACAUACGAUUGUCAAUUUCAAUUUUACCUUUCUAUUUUAAACAUAAGCUGUUUGGAUCAGAAGAUGACAGAUGUUUCAGGUUUUGACAUCCUAAGACAUACUUCUCCAACCUACGCUUGUUAUGGUUUCAACUAUCCAAGACAACAUAGCGAAGAACUUCAGAGGUAGGAGCUUGACCUGAGUCAACGUGAGUCUGCAGCAUGCUCUUGCUAACCUCCUUCCCACAACACAGAACAAGUGUUCACCUGUCUGAGAGACCAAGUUUCCAGAAGAAGGAUUCAGUACCUUCAUACUUCUCUGUGUAAAUGGUUCUCAAACUUUUUGGUGUGAAGUCCCUCUAUACGCUCUUAAAAAUUGUUGAGGACUUCAAAAAACGUGUUUAUAUGGGUUAUAUCUAUCAAUAGACCAUAUUAGAAAUAAAAGCUGACCAAAAAAGUUUUAGAAUAUUUAUUAAUUAAUUUAAAAUAAUAAUAAACGCAAGGACUUGUCACCAUUUUUGUGAAAUGUGGCAUUGUUUUCCAUUUUUGCAAAUCUCCACUAUCUGGCUUAAUAUAAGACAGUUGGAUUCUCAUAGCUGCUUCAUCAUUCUAUUGUUUUGAUUGAAGUAUAUAAAGAAAAUCUGGCUUCAAACAGAUACAUAAUUGGGAAAUAGAGAAGUAUUUUAAUAGUCUUUUUAGAUAGUCUUCUGUGAUACUAUGUCAAAACUUGACAAAUAAUAGUUUUUUUAAACUUAAGUUGUAAUGGUGGAUCUAAAACAAUAGGAAUGAGCUUUUUGUACUCUGUUACUUAAAAUCUCUUUAUCUUAUACUUUAAAUGCAUCUUUUACAACCAUUCAUGCAUUUUAAUGUCCUGUAUCAUUUGUAUUGAUUACUAAGUUAGGCAGAUUUUCCGAAUGUUGAUAUAUUUCAUUAAAAAAACUCACAAUCAUUAAAAUCACCACCAGUCUCAUCCAAAGAGUCUUCAAAUAUUGAGAAGCUGUCACGGUCAUGGUGGCAAAUAAAGUUUUCCAAAAUUCUAAUUUUCUCUUGAAAGCUCAGAUAUUUCCAGUAGCAGCAAAUACUGUCAGUUGCUUUCACUGUAGCCACAAGUUCACUUCACUCAUAUUUCAAAAAAAUGAAAUGUCUUCCAAAUACCCAAGUCUGAUUAAUAGUAGUUUGUCAGUUGUUCUUUGAAGUAAAAAUGAUAUCCCAUGAUAAAAGUGGCCAGCUCAGCUCAGAACUCAGUCAUGUGAAAGCUCUUCUUCCAGUCAACCAUGUAGUUUCUUGUACAGCAAGCUGUGUACUUUUCAUUUCUUCACAGAAAAUAUUAGAAAGACGUGUUCUCAAGGGUUGACACAAUGAAAUUAAUCAUUUUUACUGCUUUAUCAAAGAUUUUCUUAAAUGAAAUUUGCUUUUUAUUUCCCUGUGAGUGCAUGGGGUAAAGAAUACAAAGACUGAUGGUACUUACUUACGGUACUUAUACAAAGUUUGAUGCCACUACCUGUUUCAUGCUAAGGUACUAGCAGCUUUAUUCACCAUUACUUUUGCACCAUCAGUGUAAAUGUCCACAAACUAAAAAAUGCAGAUGAUUUCUAGAAUUAUUAUAAAAAUAGUGUUGAUCUUACUAAUCCCUUGAAAGGGUCUUGGGGUCCCCAACGGUCUACAGACCGACCACACUUUGGAAAGAAUAGGGUUAUAUUAAGCAUACCAAAAGUAGCAGUACAAAUCUGAGGGUUUUACUUUAAGAAGAACAUCCACAAACUAUUGCACAUUGAGAAGAGAUCUAGCAGUGAGAAGAGGAAAGGCAAUAGUAAUCCUGUCAUAUGACUAUGACUAUAGGAAAUAGAAAUGCUUAGGAUGACAGGAGAUUCAGAGAACCUGACAGACACUGGAAAACUUCUAUAGGGCUUGCAUAUACAUGUGUUAAUUCAAGGCUGACCUCUUCAGGCUUGAGGAUUAAUUCAGACAAAAUUUUGAAGAGGGUAUGGCUAUGUUUAUCACUAAAUUUGAAGAUGUGGCUAGAGGGAGAUAUUGAAGCAUCUGUCAGACACCCAGGAAAUUAGAAGGAACAGAUUGGAAGAGAUUAAAAUACUUACUGAUUCAUUGAUACAGGUAGAAGCGGAUAAUUUUAUUUCUCAUAGUUUUCGAAGAUCUCGCUAUAUUAGGUAGAGGAGUAAUUUAUCAAUUGUUGAUCAUUUCAAAUUAGAUUCUGAAUAUUAUUAGAGCUACGCUUUAAGGAUUGCCCAAAUGAAAGGAAAGGGACAAAAAUCUCUUUCCUCAUCAGAUACUCCCUUGAUAAUCAUAUUCCAACAUCCCCUUCCAUAGCUCAGGACACUAGCUUUAAAAUAUUAUACGACUUAGUCUAAAUCCUCAAAGGUGGAUAAUCAAAAGUACCUGAGAUUAAUGAUUGUGAUUUGAUUGACAACAAAAUACCCCUAUACAACCAUCUGGAUGAUUUUUUUUUUAAGAAAAACUUUUAUUUUGGAAUUUUACCUUAAAUUUGAAGAUAUGGGGGCUUUACAUUCAUAUUCGUGGACUAUUUAAAUUUCCUGGACUAUUUAAAUAUAAACUUAUAUAUGUUUCAGAUUGGAGGAGGAGAAGUUAUUUUACAUAGCCUAACUAACAUCAUUUGCAUCUUUCUGACCCAGAUAACAGAAAAGGACACAACUAUUUAUCCUUGGUUUAAAUGCCAAAAAUUUCUGUCAACAGGGUUUAUAUUUUACAGGACAAAUCAAUAAAAGCAGAAGGUGCUUCUUAGGGGGAAGUCUGUAAUCUAAUUGUCCUUUGAUAUUUUAAUAGUCUCAAUUGUGUGACUAAAGAGAAGAUUUUGAAAUGUAUUCGUUUGUCCACAAGCAAUUGCUAAAUAGUCUUAAUUGUGGAAAUAGAUUAAGUAACUGCAUUGUUUAAAUCUUCUUCCUUGGACAUUAUGUGGCAUUUCACAUUAUUCCUGAAAAGCUUAGCAAGAUUUCAAACUUUUUCAAAUCAUAAAAAAGAUAUGCUUAAUUUCUGGAAACAAAUUUAUUUUUUAUUAGAGGGAGUAGUUGUUAAAGUUUUCUAGGUAGAGGGACUCUUUUUUAAUAAUUUGAAAAGAAAAGUGACUCUGUUCCCGGAAGAGUGAAUAUAUGCUCAAACAUUUCCAUACAAUUUCGGGGGUUCACAGAUUCCUUGCCUCAAAACGUGUUCAUGGACAGAUGAAAAAUUCCCUUGUCCAAGAGAAGUAUUGUUCAGUCUUUGGGAAUACUAUGAAACCCUAAAUCUUCCUAAUGCAUGAGAAACCACAUCAUAUAGCUAAAUGUGUAAAAGGAAGACAAAGGGAGGGAAAAACCCUAAGCAAACUUUUUAUUUUCUCUAACGAGUCACAUUAAUUUUUUUAAUGCAUCAAUUUGGGGAAGAGGAAAUCUCAAAUUAAGGCAAUCUUAGACAUUUUGGAGAAAGCUUUCCAAAGGGAAUAGGAAACUGAGAAUACAAGAUUUUUCAAGAAUCCACUACAUUUCCACUUCCUCAGGCAUUGAAACCUGAUUUUAUAUUUUUAGAACAAGAAAAUCCAAAUUCUAUUCCAAGAUUUCAAGUAAGACUGCUUUCAAAUACAGGUGGCUGAAAUCCGUGGGAGGAAAACUUUGAACCAAUUCAGUAAAGUGAGACUUCCUACCUUUAUCCAAGAGAGGUGUUAGCUUCAAGACCCAAUUAGCAGAAUUUCCAUUCCAAUUGCACCUGAGAGCUGGUACUGCCGCUGCCAGUCCGAAAAUGCCAUUAAGAAGUGUGAUUCCGUGCAUUGCAUUAGUCACAUCCUGCCUACCAAGGAUGUCAGGAUAACUGAGGAUGAAAGCAAGCAAGUGCGAUGCUAUUCAAAGGAAUUACAUUUUCCUGAAUUAUAGGAAUGUUCUCGCCCAUAGCGUCUUCUUUCUAGUAUUUUAAAGUUUCAAAGUUCAACUCAGAUCUGUGGGAGUCUGAGAACUUCAUAUGCAAUGGUUCCAUCUAUAUAUUAUACGUAAGCCAAGAACCAGGACGUAUUUUGAGUUUGUUCCUGACUCACCUCUUGCAGAGAACACCUGUUGUUUGUUCACACCGAAUUGGUCAGGCUUCUAAUUAAGCAAUUUGCGAAGUAGCCUCAUUGUUUUGGAAAGCCGAGUGGUUCCAGGAAUCAGAGGUGAAAAGAAAAGACUUCUCAGAGUGUGGACUGAAGGUGGCCUCGGUCACAGUCACCCGGCUACUUUUAGAAAUACAGAUUCUGUGUGUCCAAACCCCAGACCCAUUUCACUAGAAUUUGUAGUGCUGAGUCUGGGAACACACCUGUUUUGAAAGCUUCCUCAGGGAGUUCAUAUGCACUCUGAAUCUUGGGAACUUCUGCUUUGGGGAUGAUGUAGAUGAAGAAAUUGGUUUCCUGGGCUUUUUACACAUAGCUCUUUAAAAUUAGAUUUUUGUCCUUAACUUUACUUGGAUAACAAAAGAGUAAAAACACCUCUUUUGCAAAAUACAGCUGAAUUGUGAAUUCUAAAGAAUUUCUCUGCUUAAUGACAUUAUGUUGGUCUUGAACACGAUGAGGUUUAUAUAAUCAGUAGGCUAUCUACUGCCAUAUUAAUCCAGUGUUUUCUACCACAAGUGGGGCAGUAUCAAGCAUAGAAAUGAGGGCUCUGGACUGGAACUGUUACCCAGUCCUAAGGUGACAACUGACUGCAAGUGGGUCCUUUUGCCUGGAGCUGGUCGCGCCGAUAGAAGGGACCGGGUUGGGAGCAGAGCAGAAACGGUAUUCAUUGAUCAAGGAAUGGAGGAGGCAGGGCUGGUGCUCUAAAACACCUUCUCCGCAGAAGGAAGUGAGCAGUGUUCUUAUGGGAUGUGAAGGGGGAGGGGUCUCCGCAUCAUCACUUGGAGUGAGGGCAUUAGGAGCAUCUUCCUUUCUUCCACACAGCACCUUUUGUACACAUUUCCUUUUGGAAAUCACCAUCGCCAUCUUGGACCUUUCUGGUUUGGACCGGUUCUGCGGUUAGGCCAUCUGGCGUUGCUCCACCUUGGUUCCUAUAAGCAAGUACAACUUGAAAACAAAGCAUCAGACAUGGAAAAUGUGUUAGGGACUUCCCUGGAUGACAGAACAACCUAUUUCGGACACUCACGCACAUACUAUCUGUGUGGUCUUGGGCAAAUUGCUUAAUCAUUCUAAGACUCAGUUUCUCUCUAUGUAAAAUGGGAAUAGUAGUAAAACUUUACCUUUAAAGUUCAAGUGGGAAGUACAUGAAAUUAUCCAUCGAAAGCUCUGAUUAGUGUGCAGUAAAUGUUAACCAUAAUUAUUGGUGUUGAAAACACUGUUAGAUUGAAAGACAAGUGCCUAAGAACUUCUUCCUCCAUUGCUGUGGAGAUGUUCAAUUUCCCCUGUUCUGGUAGGCUUCCUGCCACUGUAUAUUCUAGAUUAUGCCCAGGAUUCAAAAAUUUAAAAAGCUGUUCAAUCUUGAAGAUUUAAAAGCUACAGAUUUGGGUUUUAAUUCCUAAAGAAAAUCUGUUUGAAGUACUAAUUGAGUACCUGCAGGAAGUAUGUAGUUCAGAAGGAAUUUUCUAUGUGAGUAUUCACCAAGUCUACCUAAAUUAUAAAAAGCCUCAUGUUUACGAAUUAAAAGCCAAAUUUAAAAUACUUCUUUGAAAGAGCUGAGUGUUGUUUUUCUUCCAUAAUGUAUUUACCCAAGGAGGUUGACUUAGAUGGAGCAUCUGUUUUCGGCGUUCUUGCUUUUCACCUAUGAUUCCAGCAGAAUGCUCUAAGGUGCAGAGGGGUCAAGUGACUUGCUCCAGGCCGCACACAAUGAGUGAGUGAUUCAGGCCAGACUGAAUCAAGGAUUUCUAUGCCAGGGCUUCUGGCAAGUCUCUUUGGUAGGAGGGUCCAAAAAUAAAUGGUUAACUGAAAAUAAAUCUUUACGCCUCUGCUUUUAGAGACAAGAGAAGGGAUACAUUUGCUAUUUGUCAUGUCUUAAUUCAAUUUAAAUUUCUAAAUAAAAUAUUUCUAAAUAUAAUAACUCAAACAUAGCUUUUCAAUUCUCUUCCAAAUAACUGAAUUUAUGCUAUUUAACUGACUAUUGAAUUGGAAGUAUAGCAGAAGAGUUUCUCUCUUGGAAAUUUUGGCCAAUUUGGUCUACUCUCCAUCAUCUCUGCUCGUUUCGAGUCAUUGUGUUCACUGUUGCCAAGCAUUCAUUCACCAAAAGUUUAUUGAGCAUCUACUGUGGGCCAUUUACAUUUACAAUCUUGCCAUUAACAUUUGUAGGACUCAGCACAAAGGUACUAAUAGAGGCUCACAUGUCUUAUGUCUAAAUGCCUAAUAUUUGUAAAUAAAGCUGGCAAAGUAUUCAAUAAAAUUAGUUCUUCUUGUCUUGACUAAUAUGCCAUCAUAAAAACUUACAAGCCAGUUUCAAAUUUAGAAUUCUCAAACACCUCAGUGUUGUGUGCCAGAACAGCAGUGCAAGAACAUACAACCAGCCACCUGCCCCCCGGUGCCAGUCUCCUGCCUCUGGUUCUCAGCCCAGCCCUCUUUUUUUCCCACCCCUGGCUCCAUCCUAUAAUGUGAUAUGCCUUGCACACAAGCUUUGAAUAUCUCAGCUUGCACAUCCAAGCUCGUCCACAGUUCCCGAAAUCAGCCUUGACUGUGCCAUUCUUUGGACCCCUGACCUUAUAAGGGUGGAAGCUUAUGCUGGCCCAGGAAAUAGGCUCAGGACUGGAGCCUUUCAUGCCUGGGCCUAAGGAGGUACUGCCCCGCACCAUACUGGGGCAUCCAUAUAAGGCUAAAUUGUUCCCCUGGGCAGUCUGAGUAUAUCCUUCUCCUUUUCUAAAAUAUCACCACUUUCCAUUGUCAACCCAGCAGAGGCCCAACUCCUUAGUCUGAUCUGACCUUAAACUUUCCAACCUGAUAAGCAAAUUUUUCCAUUUACUGCACACUGUGUUAAACAAGUUAGAGCAAAUUUCCGUCUCAGUACCUCUUAGUCCAUUUGUUCUUUCUUCCUAAAAUGCUCUUUUCCCAUCUCUGCCUGCCUCAAUAUUCUUAUUUGUCUCCCCUCUUCUUAUCUCUUAUGAUACUCCAUGCCCAUCUUUCAGUUCAUGCUUAUCUGUUACUAACUUUAUAGUUAUGUUUUAUACACGCCGUCUCUCCUAGUUUUGGCUGUGAGGUCUUUGAAGACUAGUCCUGUGCAGUUCACUUCCUUUCAAUUCUUUGAAAAUGGCUUUAUUGUUCUUUGUAGAAAUCAUGCUUGUUCAUUGUAAAUGAGUAAUACCAUGAAAGAGUGCAAAAAGAAAGUAAAAAUUCAGAAAUGUUGCCAAUUUCUUCAGAUAGACACAUGGAUUGAUGUAUAGAAGUUACACAAAGAGGAAUAUUGAUUUUUUGUAACUUUUAAAAAAUUUUUUAA